ensembl:lncRNA
AAGUGCAUGGCCCAGAAGGAGAUUUGGGCUCUACGUCAUCAUGGAUCUCUCCAAACAGUGGUGGCAGCCAACACAGGGGUUUAUACUUCUCUGCCUCCCUCAGGAACUUUGGCCCAACCCUUUGGAUACUCAGACACUUCUCAGUCCACUCUGGAAAGCCACACACCCCUGAGCAGGGGCCAUAUGGGGUAUCCCUCCUGACAUGAGCUUGCUCAGCACCUGCCUCAUCUUGGCCUGUGUUUUUGGGCAAGGAAAGGAAUCAAAUCCAAGCUGGAAGUGGUGCAGGUGUCAUUCAGUUUUCACUCUCUCAGAAUGGCCUGGCCCACACGGGAGAGAACCAGCUCUCAAUUUCUAGGUCAAGGUGGCAGCUGCACACCAGAUCCUGGCAGACGGUGCCAGGGAGGGGCAGGGGUUCUCCAUGUUAGAGAAGGCUCUGGCUGGCUGGCCACCGAGGUGAAAUCCUCCAGGUACAGAGUAUGUCCUAAUGAACAGCAGGGAACGAUCUCCAAGGCUGGGUCCGGGGAAGAGCAAAAGCGGGGGCUGGGUGUGGCUGCGGAGCUUUUGUGAUGGAGAGCUGGGGCACAGGAGCCGGCUUUCAGGAGCGGGAGCAACCAUGCUGCGGGCUUGGUGGUGGGGAGGGCGGUGAACAAAGGCCCAAUGGAGUGGCGUGACGGCUGCGACGGCUCAAGGGACCGUGGGACCUUCCAGAGGCCUUCCAGGAGACGGGCGCCCCCGAGAGGAGUCACCCCUCCCUCGCCCCCCCCCGGCUGCAGCAGCCCCGGAAGCUCCGAGGGCGCUAGGGCCUUCUCGGAGCUGGGCCCCACCAGGAGGUCGGGGGUGGAUGGGGCAAGGCCCUGGCAGAAUAUGGGGGUCGUGAGUAGAAUAGGGGAAGGGGGUGCCCGGGCCAGGAUGGGGGGGUCGGGCCCUUACGAUGCGAAGUGUGGCAGCAGCAGCAGCAGCAGCAGCAGCCCCUGGCGGCUCAGGAUUCUGCAGAUGACGCUGCCUCCCCCUCCUCGAAAUCGAGGAGGUAAAAAGAGACGCGGGCGGCUGCCUGUAGGGGAGUCUCCGGUAGCAGCCGCCUUUGGUUUCCGCAGCAGCAGGAACAUCUUCCCCAGCGAAAAUCUGCGGAGAAUAUGGAGGACAGGGACAGGAAAAGAGGGAUGUGGUAUCACGUCACGUGGCCCCUUAAAGGGUCCUCGCCACGCUGCGGCCUUGUCGCCUUUUGUGGGAGCGGUUGAAGUAUGACCCUCUGCCGCCGCCGUCUUCUGGGAGUGCACUGCGGUUGCCAUGGAGACAGGAUCCUUGGUUUUUGGUGACACCCAAAGGAGGGCAGAGGAGGAGGAGGAGGCCUGACCGCAGAGACAAAUGGAAACGUUUCCCCCAGCUGGGGGGGGGGGGAACCAAAACAGCAAAACGCCACGAAUGACCCCACGCUGCUGAGGUCUGCUCGCACUUCCCUCCCUGUGUACUCGUGAAGUCCUUUAUUCGGACCCAAAUGUAGGAUUUUAUAUUUAUAAAUAUAAAUUUCAUCUAAUUUGAUCCGGCCCAUCCUUUCAGUUUGUCAGGAGGUUUUUGUUUUUUUUUUUGCACAUCCUUACUGCAUGAUCGGGCAGGUUAGCUUUCCCCCAGCUUCACCUUAUCUGUAUAUUUGGCAAGUACGUCGUGAUGGCUACCUCCAAAGACGCUGAUAAAAAUAUUGAACAGCCCAGGACCAAAUAUAGAUCCCUAGGGGUACUCCACGUUUUCCUUUAAGUGAGCAUUGAACUAUUAAUUGACUGAUUUGGGGGUCUGGUCAUUGAGCAAAUUCCUGAUCCAUCUCUUGCCUAGUCCAUGUCUCAGCCACCUCAUUUACAAGAACAGCGUGAAAGACUUUUUCAAAUGUUUAGCUGAAACCAAGGUAAACGAUAUAAUAUUCAUCAGAUUUGCCAGAUUAUCCAGUUAAAAAGGAAAAUUAUUUUAAUCUGCCAUGAACUUUUAAAACACUUUUUUAUUGAUAUAGUUUGUUUUUACACCACCUACAAUUCCCAAUGUUUCACUCCCUCUCAAAGAGCCAUCCUUUAUAAUGAGUAAGAAAGAGAAAAACAAUCCAGCAAAACUAAACAACACAUCAAAAAAGUCUGAUAUUAUAUAUACUUUUCCGAAAAGGAGGUGGUAGAAUAACCUUUUUUUAAAAAAAAAGUCAUUUAUAAUCUCUCCUUCCCACUGAUACUCUUCCCCCACAACAUUGAUUUAAAACAUCAGAACUUCAUAGAAAUGUGCAUAGUCCAGCAAAACAAAUUCCCAUGUUGGCCAUGGCUUAAAAUGUAUGUUUCAUUUUUCUUGGUAAGUCCAUCACCUUUCUGACAAGAAGUGAGUGGUUUGUUUCCUAUGCAGUGUUUAGACUCAUAGUUGGUCAUUGAAUUGAUCAUAACCCUAAAGUUCCCCAAGUUUAUUUAUUCCACAAUAUUUGUCAUUAUAUGAAUUGUCCUCCUAGUUCUGCUCACUUCACUCUGGUCAGUUCAUAGAGGUCUUACCAGUUUCCUCUGAAAGGGUUCAUUUUUUCUUAUGACACAAUAAUAUUCAAUUACAUUCACAUACCACAAUUUAUUUAGCCAUUUCCUAAUCAGAGGGCACCUCCUUAGCUUCCAGUUUGAGGCUACUACAAAAAAAGAGCUGCUAUUCAUCUUUUUGUAUAUUUCCUUUCCUCUUUCAUUUGUUUGGGAUAUAGGCCUAGUAAUGGCAUAGCUAGGUCAAAGAGUAUACACACUUUAAUAACUUCUGGAAAUACAGUCAGUUCUGCUAUAAUUUGACAUAUAAGUUCCUAAAAAUCAAUACUAUGUAAAACUGUAAAAUAAAACUUAUAAGCUUUAUGGGGAAAAUGGGAUU